rnacentral:rRNA from 1 species
UACAGAGGGGGCAAGCGUUGUUCGGAAUUACUGGGCGUAAAGGGCGCGUAGGCGGCCUUCUAAGUCAUGCGUGAAAUCCCCGGGCUCAACCCGGGAACUGCGUCUGAUACUGGAGGGCUUGAAUCCGGGAGAGGGAUGUGGAAUUCCAGGUGUAGCGGUGAAAUGCGUAGAUAUCUGGAGGAACACCGGUGGCGAAGGCGGCGUUCUGGACUGCAACUGACACUGAGAGACGAAAGCCAGGGGAGCAAACGGG